UACAGAGGUCCCCAAGCGUUGUUCGGAUUUACUGGGCGUAAAGGGUGCGUAGGCGGUUGGGUAAGUCUGAUGUGAAAUCCCCGGGCCCAACCCGGGAACGGCAUUAGAAACUGCCCGGCUGGAGGGUUGGAGGGGGGACUGGAAUUCCCGGUGUAGCAGUGAAAUGCGUAGAUAUGCGGAGGAACACCAAUGGCGAAGGCAAUCCCCUGGGCCUGCACUGACGCUCAUGCACGAAAGCGUGGGGAGCAAACAGGAUUAGAUA
rnacentral:rRNA from 1 species